rnacentral:lncRNA from 1 species
AAAGUAUUUGAAUUAAAUGAAUGCGAUUUCGGUAUUUAUAUAGUUGAGUAAUUUAAGAUUUACCUUGGCUAUUCUUGUUAAUUUAAUUGUUGGUUAUUUAGCACCACUGAGUCUUCCACUCAGCGCGUUGAUUUUUAUCACGCGCAGGUUAAGAGCGGAGGGUGUUCUUAAAGACCAGAGGACAAGCAUCAGAGUAGAGAUCACAUUUUGGGUAGGAUAUUUUGUAAAUGGUGAUUUUUGGCAUGUAUAUAAAGAUUGUAUUAUGGAGGUUGUAUAUAAUAAGUUUAUAAUGUAUUAAGAGUUAUGAUUAUUGAAGGAAA